rnacentral:ncRNA from 1 species
ACGCACUGUGUGUCAGUCGGUCCUAAGAGAUUGGCGAACGCCGUUCAAAAGUGCGGGGCGAUGGCCUCCGUCGCCCCCGGUCGAUCGAAAGGGAGUCGGGUUCAGAUCCCCGAAUCUGGAGAGGCGGAGAUAGGCGCCGCGAGGCGUCCAGUGCGGUAACGCAAACGACCCCGGAGAAGCUGGCGGGAGCCCCGGGAAGAGUUCUCUUUUCUUUGUGAAGGGCAGGGCGCCCUGGAAUGGGUUCGCCCCGAGAUAGGGGCCCGUGCCCUGGAAAGCGUCGCGGUUCCGGCGGCGUCCGGUGAGCUUUCGCUGGCCCUUGAAAAUCCGGGUGAGAAGGUGUAAAUCUCGCGCCAGGCCGUACCCAUAUCCGCAGCAGGUCUCCAAGGUGAACAGCCUCUGGCAUGAUGGAACAAGGGGGGUAAGGGAAGUCGGCAAAUCAGAUCCGUAACUUCGGGAUAAGGAUUGGCUCUAAGGGCUGGGUCGGUUGGGCUGGGGUGCGAAGCGGGACACAGUACGU